rnacentral:rRNA from 1 species
UUAUGGCUCAGGAUGAACGCUGGCGGCGUGCUUAACACAUGCAAGUCGAACGAAGUUAGAGAGCUUGCUUUUAAACUUAGUGGCGGACGGGUGAGUAACGCGUGGGUAACCUGCCUUUCACAGGGGGAUAACAGUUAGAAAUGACUGCUAAUACCGCAUAAGCGCACAGGACGGCAUCGUCUAGUGUGAAAAAACUCCGGUGGUGAAAGAUGGACCCGCGUCUGAUUAGCUAGUUGGUGAGGUAACGGCUCACCAAGGCGACGAUCAGUAGCCGGCCUGAGAGGGUGAACGGCCACAUUGGGACUGAGACACGGCCCAAACUCCUACGGGAGGCAGCAGUGGGGAAUAUUGCACAAUGGGGGAAACCCUGAUGCAGCGACGCCGCGUGAGUGAAGAAGUAUUUCGGUAUGUAAAGCUCUAUCAGCAGGGAAGAAAAUGACGGUACCUGACUAAGAAGCCCCGGCUAACUACGUGCCAGCAGCGGC